rnacentral:rRNA from 1 species
UACGUAGGGUGCAAGCGUUGUCCGGAAUUAUUGGGCGUAAAGAGCUCGUAGGCGGUCUGUCGCGUCUGCUGUGAAAAACUCAGGGCUUAACCCUGAGCUUGCAGUGGGUCCGGGCAGACUAGAGUGCGGUAGGGGGAGACUGGAAUUCCUGGUGUAGCGGUGAAAAUGCGCAGAUAUCAGGAGGGAACACCGGUGGGCGAAAGGGCGG